rnacentral:rRNA from 1 species
ACAGCAGCCGCCGCGGUAAUACGUAGGUGGCAAGCGUUGUCCGGAAUUAUCGGGCGUAAAGGGCUCGCAGGCGGUUUCUUAAGUCUGAUGUGAAAGCCCCCGGCUCAACCGGGGAGGGUCAUUGGAAACUGGGAAACUUGAGUGCAGAAGAGGAGAGUGGAAUUCCACGUGUAGCGGUGAAAUGCGUAGAGAUGUGGAGGAACACCAGUGGCGAAGGCGACUCUCUGGUCUGUAACUGACGCUGAGGAGCGAAAGCGUGGGGAGCGAACAGGAUUAGAUACCCCGGUAGUCCUGUCUCUUAUACA